CCCACCCUCUGCUCGCCGCUCUGUCCCAUCCAAAAAAAAAAAAAAAUCCCUCACUCUUUUCUACCUCUCAGACAAUUUCUCUUUUUGUUGUUUGUUGUUUUUUUUUUGGCGUUUCGAGGAAAUUUUCGGCAAAUCCACCCUGGCAGGGCGCGAUAACACCGGAGCCCUCUGAAAGUUUGAGAAAAAGAAAGGAGGAGGAACAGGGAGCGAGGAAUUAAAGAGCAGCAGCCAAGGAGAGCGAGGAGCCGUGCGGGAGCCAAGGCUAAGCGUGCAGUGUGACGGCACGAGUGCUGAGAUCCAAGAGUUCCUCGUGGAUAAACGCGGCUGUUUGUGCACGGAAACACCCCCAGGCACAGCACAAAAAUCGCCUGUGCGGAUGUGCAGGUGAUGAGAUCCUCACAAACACUUGCCCAACAGCUCGAACCACCCCUGCCCCAUCCGCUGUUUGGUUUUAUACGGAUAUUUCCAUUUUACCCCGGGUUUAAAGAGGGAUUUUUGGGUGCACACAAGGCUUAAUGCGCCCCCACCCUCCUCACAGCUCAGUGGGAGUGGGCGCAAAUCUGCGCGCCAGCAAAAGGCGGGCGAGCGGAUCGGCGUGCGCGCACCGCCUAUGCACCAGAUAUAUAUAAAUAUAUAUUUCUAUAUUAUCUAGAAAUACAAAUCUCCCGCAUUUUCCGGCAGCCACGGCCCCAAACACCGUGCAACACUUACCUGGGUGGGGAUGGUGGCUUUGUGGCUGUUCCCCCCCGGGUUCCUUGCAGCCCUGCCGGGCUCGAUCCUGGUUUUUCAGCUCCCCGGCCGCACUGCCCGGGCCCGGCGAGCCCCGGCUCUG